UACGUAGGGGGCUAGCGUUGUCCGGAAUCAUUGGGCGUAAAGCGCGUGUAGGCGGUCCGGUAAGUCCGCUGUGAAACCUCCAGGCUCAACCUGGAGACGCCAUCUGAUACUGCCGUGGCUUGAGUCCGGUAGAGGAGCAGGGAAUUCCUGGUGUAGCGGUGAAAUGCGCAGAUAUCAGGAGGAACACCAGCGGCGAAGGCGCUGCUCUGGGCCGGUACUGACGCUGAGGAGCGAAAGCGUGGGGAGCGAACAGG
rnacentral:rRNA from 1 species